rnacentral:rRNA from 1 species
CAGUUCGGUCCCUAUCUGCCGUGGGUGUUGGAAAUUUGAGAGGAGCUGCCCCUAGUACGAGAGGACCGGGGUGGACGUACCUCUGGUGGACCUGUUGUCGCGCCAGCGGCAUAGCAGGGUAGCUAUGUACGGAAGGGAUAACCGCUGAAUGCAUCUAAGCGGGAAGCCCCCCUCAAAACCAGAUUUCCCUUGAGAGUCGAGGAAGACUACCUCGUUGAUAGGCUAGGUGUGGAAGUGUGGCGACACAUGAAGCUUACUAGUACUAAUAUCUCG